AAAACUUUCAUCAGAACUUCAUAAAGUUCUCUAUCAUUAAGUUCUGAUACUUUUAAUUUGCUUUACAAAUAUUAAUUAAUUUUUAACUCAUGUCAAAAUAAUACAUGUACUCCGUCUAAAAAUUCAGGUAAUCCAGGAUAAUUUCCCUCUCUCUUUUUUUCUGUAAUAGUGGAUUUAUUCUUAAGGAAAACUUCUCAUAGCUUCAGAGGAAUGGUACCUGUAUUCGAUAACUAAAUUUGAGCCGUAUCUUCCAAACUCUUUUCAAAUGGAUAGAAAUCUUUGCUAUUAUAGAUGCUAAUAUGAAGCGUUUAUACUAGAAGAAAAAACUUGAAGUAACCAUAAAGUUAUAUUUGUCUAUGUAGCAUAAGCCUCUUUACCAAAGUUGUUCUGUGGUAACACAUUUUAAUGUAUUUGAUAGCUUCGUGUUUAAUCUUUGUGAUGAUUGAAGAAGACAUCUGCUAAUGUGGGGAAACGUUUUACUUUAAGGUAAACCGAAUCCUUUAUUCCAUCUACAAACCUAAUUCCUCUUUGCUUGUAAUAUAGUAUAGUCACAGGUUCAGGAUUAGGACAUAGCUAACUUUGGGAGCUAAUGGAUCUCACGGAGAAGCAUUUGUGUGCCAGUCUGACCACCUUGUGAGUGAGGUUCACUGGCUCAGAAGAUCAACCUGUGCAGAAAAACUCCAGUUAGCUCUUUAGAGCCUCACUAUUAUGUAUGAACUCACAGACAAGGAUCACCAGCUACCAGAAGACUAUUCAGAAGUGAGAGGGACACAUACAUGUAUACAAACAUGGAUCCACAUACCACACCGUAUCCCACCCACCCACACCUAUGCUUACAUCCUCCUCACCCCACACCUGGUCCUAUUGCACACACAACAGGGUGUCCAUGAGGCACAUCAGGCCAUUUUAGAAGGAGUAGAGCUCUCUCCCUCUUUUUCCCUAGAGUGAGAAUGGAAGAAAGGCCAGAUCCACUUAUUUAUUAAAGAACAGGUAAAGCUGAGCACCCAUCGGCCUAGGCAUCUGAGUCCUGUGCUCCUGGCCAGAUAGAAUAAAGUUUCUUGGAAGUCUAUGAAAGGAAUUUUCUGGCACUAGGUGAAGAAGUCUGGGGUGGAGUUGGAAUACCCUGGUCCGGUUGGGUACUGACAAAGGGCACAAGUCAGAAAAAACUGGGUUGUUAGGUAACAUAAGUGUGACUGGAGGAACAAGAUCACAUAUACGUAUAUAUUUCAUCCUGUUUCUCUCCCACUCUUCCCCUUCAUUCUUUUCUGCUUCCCAAAUUUGUUAUUUCUCUCUUCCCUCUGUGUAACCCUUUCCCUCACCCCUUUUUCCUCCAGUCUUCCCUGCAUAAUUUUCUUUCUCUCUGUUUGUGACUUAAAGUCUCCAUAUGAUGAUGAUAUACAGUUGUUUUAUAAAUAAAUGUAUACCAAAGUCAAUGUACCAUCCUCUUGGUUUUCCUGAAAAUUUGUCUGAUAGAAUAUUAUCAUUGCUGGCAUUCUAUUUGUUGUGCCUUCCCAAGAUUCCCAAGGAAUAUAGAAAACUUGGGAAAGACUUUUAGCAAAUGUAAGAAACUGCUUUCUUUUCAUAAUAGCCUUUCAUCAGAUAUACUCUGAGAAAUUGUGCAAUGGAAGAGGUGGACGUUUUGUUAUCUGCAAUCAAUAAACUUAAUUAAAACUUUCCAAAUACUCCUCAUUUUUGCCCUAGGAUAACAUAAUCUCUUGGUUGUAGACAUUUUGGCAGUUAUGGUGGCAUCAAUGAAUACUAAACACGAGUGGAGAGGUUAGGUUAGCUCAGAACAUUCUGCUCCCGUGUUGAUGAUUCAUACCUUAACGCCUGCCAAGAGGAAAGCUUUGAUCUCUGGUUUCCAAGCUAACCAUGUACUAGAAUCAUCAACAGAAGCCCAAAAGGCAAAGGGAGAAGGAUCACAAUUUACGAUUUCUCUUAAAAAUGAAAGUAAGAAAAUUAUGUUUCGCAAAUAUAUAGAUUUAGAUAUCUACAUGAUCAUGCCCAACUUGAUACUGAAGAAAAUAAACUUUCAUCAAAACUUCUUAAAAAUCUCUGCCAUUAAGUUCUUAUGCAUUUAAUUUGCUUCACAAUUUUUAAUUAAUUUUUCACUCGUGUCAAAAUAAUACACAUACACAAUCUAAGCAUUCAAAGAAGACUACAGAGUUUAUAAUGAAAAACAGUAUCUCUCAGUUCCACCUUGUCCCAUUCCUGAUUUCUAUUCCAAUUAUGGAACUAUUUAAUUCUUUUAGCUCAUUCUUCGGUUAUUUACCUCCAUCUUGCUCAAUAAAUAUUUGCAUUGCUAUUUCUUGAUCUUUCAAUUUUACUUGGUUGAUGUCUUACAAUAGAAAAUGAGGAUUUAAUUUUCUUACUCUCUGUCCCCUUUGCACAUGUACAUGUCCCCUCCUCCUUUAUUCUAAAUUUACUUAUGUCACAAGUUUGGCUAUAUCAAGAUUCAGAACUUACCAUGUUAUAACUAUAUCAAUAGACUUCACAUCUCAGCUACAUGGAAUCAUUGCAUUGUAUUUCUCAUCUAGCUUUUCUAUAUUAGUUGAAUUAACCAACACUUUUGUGGUUAUUUGCUUAGUUUUCAGUAUCUUAUCACUAAUUCACUUCCAAGCUCUCUAUCAAAUCUGUAAGAUUCCUCUCAGGAUAGUCAAGUAUAUCCCAAAAUAUAUUUAUAUUUUUUCAUUUUAUGGCAAAGCCAUCACCUCUAAAGCCUUCCAGCCUCCCUGAUAAACAGCUGUUUUCUUGGGCCUUCUUAACCUCAUUCUAAAAACAUCAUUUGCUUUUUUCCUACCUUGGAUCUUGCCUCUUGUAUUUGAAAUACUUGCCCUUUCUUAUUUUUUAUUUAUUCUACUUUUUUGAUGGAAAAGAGUUUUUAGCAAUUUUCUAAGAAAGAGUCUGCUACUGACUGAAUAUUUAAGGCCCCUCCAAAUUCACACUUCGAAGUCUAAUACCCAAUGUAAUAGUAUUUGGAGAUGAGCCUUUGGGAAGUGAUUAGAUCAUUUGGAUGGGAUUGAUUCCCUGAUAAAGAGGCCUCAGAGAGCUCCCUCAGCCCUUCCACCAUGUGAGGACCCUGUGACUGAACAGGGGAGCAGGCUCUGACCAGACACUAAAUCUAUGGGCACCUUGAUCUUGGAAUUCCCAGCCUGCAGAAUACGUGAAAUAAAUUUCUGUUGUUUAAGCCACUCCAUACCAUAGAUUUAUGGUAUUUUUGCUGCAGUAGCCCAAAUGGACUAAGACAGGGUAUGGGGAGGGGGUAAAAUGUUUGCAUAUAUACAAAAAUCUUUUUUCUACUCUCAUAUGUUAAUGAUAGUUUAUCUGGGUAUUCAGCAUAGAUUGGAAUUUAAAUUUUCCUCAGUAUUUUGAAAGCAUAUCUCCAAAAUUCUAGAUUUGGUUGAUGAAUUCUUUAUCACGCUAUUUUAAGUUGUUUGCAUGACAUCUUUGUUUUUGUUUGUUUAUCUGUUUGUUAUCUCAAGAAGCAUCAAGGAUGUCAGUGUUUUGAAACUCCCUAAUGCUGUGCUUUGAUGUGAGGUUUUUUUUUUUUUUUUCAUUCACAUAAAGGGCCUUUAGUAAAAUACUGAUCACAUAUAAGGCAUUACCAAUUACCAUGUGAAGGCAAUAAUAAAAAGACUUAACCUUAAUUGAUUAUAUGCUAAGCACUAUUCUAAAAAUGUUAUAACACACAUGAUUUCAUUUAUUUCUUUUUGUGUAUUUUUGUUUUUAUUGAGCUAUAAUUGACAUAUAAUAUUAUAAUAGUUUCAGGUGCAUAGCAUAAUAAUUCGCUAUUGGUAUAUAUUGUGAAAUUAUCACCACAAUCAGUAUAGUAAACAUGCAUCACCACAGAUAAUUACAAAUUUUUUUCUUGUGUUGAGAACUUUUAAGAUUUUCUCUCUUUGAAAUUUUCGAUAUAGAAUAUAGUAUUAUUAACUAUAGUCACCAUGCUGUACAUUAUAUCCCAUGAUAAUUUAUUUAUUUGAUAUCUAGAAGUCUGUAGCUUUUUAUCCCCUUCACCUAUUUGCCAACUCCUAACCCCCGACUUUGGCAACUAUCAAUUUGCUCUGUUUCUUUGAGUUUUGUUUUGCUUUAUUUGCAUUUUUUUAGAUUGUACAUAUAAAUGAGAUCACAAGGUAUUUGUCAUAUAUAUAUAUAUAUGUGUAUAUAUAUAUAUGUGUCUAUAUAUAUAUGUGUAUAUAUAUAUGUGUAUAUAUAUAUGUGUGUAUAUAUAUAUAUGUGUGUGUAUAUAUAUAUAUGUGUAUAUAUAUAUAUGUGUGUGUGUGUGUAUAUAUAUGUGUGUAUAUAUAUAUAUAUCCCCAUUUUCCUUUUCCAUUCAUCCAUCAAUGGACACUUAACAAAUUUACAACAGAGAAGCCAAGAAUAUACAAUGGGGAUAGGACAGUUUCUUCUUCAAGGACAAUCUAGUAUUAUUCUCUGUUUAUAUAUGAAAAAAAAAUGAAGCACUAAUGCUUAGGUAACUUGCAAAGUUAAUGCAAUGAGCAAAUUGCAGAACUAGUCUAUGAAGUAUUUUAGGAUUUUAGUCGUUACACUGCAGUGUCCACGACAAAAGACCAAAAUAUUAAUUAUAAGAAAAAUUACAGUCAUUUUUUAUGGUUAGGAAAAACAAAAAUAUAACUGAAAGAUAAUCAACGAGAAGUAUAUUAAAAAUGCAAAGUAUCAUUUAUUUAAAUAAUAGUUGGGGGAAAAAAAAAAUUGAGGAGUUCCCAUCUUGGCGCAUCGGAAACAAAUCCAACUGGGAACCAUGAGGUUGAGGGUUCGAUCCCUAGCCUUGCUCAAUGGUUUAAGGAUCCGGUGUUGCCAUGAGCUGUGGGGUAGGUCACAGACAUGGUUCAGAUCUGGUGUUGCUGUGGCUGUAGAUUAGGCCAACAGCAACAGCUCCAAUUUGACCCCUAGCCUGAGAACCUCCAUAUGCUGUGAGUGCAACCGUAAAAAGACAAAAAAAAAAAAAAAAAAAAAA
rnacentral:lncRNA from 1 species